rnacentral:rRNA from 1 species
UACGGAGGGUGCAAGCGUUUUUCGGAAUUACUGGGCGUAAAGCGCGUGUAGGCGGCUUGGCAAGUCGGGUGUGAAAUCCCGGGGCUCAACCCCGGAACUGCAUUCGAAACUGCCUCGCUCGAGUCCCGGAGAGGGUGGUGGAAUUCCCAGUGUAGAGGUGAAAUUCGUAGAUAUUGGGAGGAACACCGGUGGCGAAGGCGACCACCUGGACGGUGACUGACGCUGAGACGCGAAAGCGUGGGGAGCAAACAGG